AGGAGAUCUCCAAGAGGAACUCGGAGCGGACGCCUAAAACGCUUGUUUGAGACCUAUUGCGCUUGUUUGACUAGGUGAGUGUUCCAUAUAGGAAUACGUAAUUGAGUAAGUCUAGGACAUGCUCAUUUCAUGAUCGUUAAGUAUUUACCAUACUCGUGCCUAUUUAAGAAAUAUAUAUAUGCAUUGCAUAUUGACAUGAAUUGGUUAAAUGAUUAACC
rnacentral:lncRNA from 1 species